AUUGAACGCUGGCGGCAGGCUUAACACAUGCAAGUCGAGCGGGGGAAGGUAGCUUGCUACCGGACCUAGCGGCGGACGGGUGAGUAAUGCUUAGGAAUCUGCCUAUUAGUGGGGGACAACAUCUCGAAAGGGAUGCUAAUACCGCAUACGUCCUACGGGAGAAAGCAGGGGAUCUUCGGACCUUGCGCUAAUAGAUGAGCCUAAGUCGGAUUAGCUAGUUGGUGGGGUAAAGGCCUACCAAGGCGACGAUCUGUAGCGGGUCUGAGAGGAUGAGCCGCCAGACUGGGACUGAGACACGGCCCAGACUCCUACGGGAGGCAGCAGUGGGGAAUAUUGGACAAUGGGGGGAACCCUGAUCCAGCCAUGCCGCGUGUGUGAAGAAGGCCUUAUGGUUGUAAAGCACUUUAAGCGAGGAGGAGGCUACUUUAGUUAAUACCUAGAGAUAGUGGACGUUACUCGCAGAAUAAGCACCGGCUAACUCUGUGCCAGCAGCCGCGGUAA
rnacentral:rRNA from 1 species